rnacentral:rRNA from 1 species
CGAAGCCCCAGUAAACGGCGGCCGUAACUAUAACGGUCCUAAGGUAGCGAAAUUCCUUGUCGGGUAAGUUCCGACCUGCACGAAUGGCAUAAUGAUGGCCAGGCUGUCUCCACCCGAGACUCAGUGAAAUUGAAAUCGCCGUGAAGAUGCGGUGUACCCGCGGCUAGACGGAAAGACCCCGUGAACCUUUACUAUAGCUUGACACUGAACAUUGAAUUUUGAUGUGUAGGAUAGGUGGGAGCCUUUGAAGCAGUGACGCCAGUCAUUGUGGAGGCGACCUUGAAAUACCACCCUUUAACGUUUGAUGUUCUAACGAAGUGCCUGAAACGGGUACUCGGACAGUGUCUGGUGGGUAGUUUGACUGGGGCGGUCUCCUCCCAAAGCGUAACGGAGGAGCACGAAGGUUUGCUAAUGACGGUCGGACAUCGUCAGGUUAGUGCAAUGGUAUAAGCAAGCUUAACUGCGAGACAGACAAGUCGAGCAGGUGCGAAAGCAGGUCAUAGUGAUCCGGUGGUUCUGAAUGGAAGGGCCAUCGCUCAACGGAUAAAAGGUACUCCGGGGAUAACAGGCUGAUACCGCCCAAGAGUUCAUAUCGACGGCGGUGUUUGGCACCUCGAUGUCGGCUCAUCACAUCCUGGGGCUGAAGUAGGUCCCAAGGGUAUGGCUGUUCGCCAUUUAAAGUGGUACGCGAGCUGGGUUUAGAACGUCGUGAGACAGUUCGGUCCCUAUCUGCCGUGGGCGUUGGAUGAUUGAUUGGGGCUGCUCCUAGUACGAGAGGACCGGAGUGGACGCAUCACUGGUGUUCCAGUUGUCUCGCCAGAGGCAUUGCUGGGUAGCUAAAUGCGGAAGAGAUAAGUGCUGAAAGCAUCUAAGCACGAAACUUGCCAAGAGAUGAGUCAUCCCUGACUUUAAGUCAGUAAGGGUUGUUGUAGACUACGACGUAGAUAGGUUGGGUGUGUAAGUGUAGUGAUACAUUGAGCUAACCAAUACUAAUUGCCCGAGAGGCUUAACCAUACAACGCUCAAG